ACGGGGUGCAGCAGGCGCGAAAACUUCACAAUGUGGGCAACCACGAUGAGGGAAUUCCAAGUGCUCAUGCUUUGCAUGUGCUGUUUCUUAGCCUAAGUAGCCGGGAGAGUAAGGGCUGGGUAAGACGGGUGCCAGCCGCCGCGGUAAUACCCGCAGCCCGAGUGGUGAUCGGUUUUAUUGGGCCUAAAGCGUCCGUAGCCGGUCUGGUAAAUUCCUGGGUAAAUCGGGUCGCUUAACGAUUCGAAUUCCGGGAACACUGCCAGACUUGGGACUGGGAGAGGCCAGAGGUACUCCAGGGGUAGGGGUGAAAUCCUGUAAUCCUUGGGGGACCACCAGUGGCGAAGGCGUCUGGCUAGAACGGGUCCGACGGUAAGGGACGAAGCCCUGGGGCACAAACCGGAUUAGAUACCCGGGUAGUCCAGGGUGUAAACGCUGCGAGCUUGGUGUUGGGGGUCCCAAGUGGGCGUCCAGUGCCGGAGAGAAGUUGUUAAGCUCGCCGCCUGGGAGUACGUCGCAAGAC
rnacentral:rRNA from 1 species